rnacentral:rRNA from 1 species
UACGUAGGGCGCAAGCGUUAUCCGGAAUUAUUGGGCGUAAAGAGCUCGUAGGCGGUUUGUCGCGUCUGCCGUGAAAGUCCGGGGCUCAACUUCGGAUCUGCGGUGGGUACGGGCAGACUAGAGUGAUGUAGGGGAGACUGGAAUUCCUGGUGUAGCGGUGAAAUGCGCAGAUAUCAGGAGGAACACCGGUGGCGAAGGCGGGUCUCUGGGCCGAAAUUGACGCUGAGGAGCGAAAGCGUGGGGAGCAAACAGG